CUGAGCUGUUAGUUAGCACAGAGCCCGGUGCAGUGCUUGAACUCACUGACUGUCAGAUCAUGACCUGAGCUGAAGUUGGAUGCUUAACCGACUGAGCCACCCAGGUGCCCCAAUGUCUUUUAAUGUGUUUACAGAGUUAUGCAACUAUCACCAUAAUCUAAUUUUAGACUAUUUCCAUGACCCUAAAUGAAGCCCCUUGUGUUGGUAAUCAGUCCCUCUUAUUUCCCCAUGUUUUUGGCCCUGACCAACCACUAGAAGUUUGGGUGGGUGGAUUUUACACAGUCUAGUUUGGGUUGCUAGGCAGAAUAAGUUACAUUUAGCAAGUGAAGCUCCAGGAACACAAGAGGCAAAGUCAAAGGAUUUGUGUCAAGAAUGGUGGAAUUAGUGUCUCAUGCUUCUGUGUGUGCUGUCCUGAGCACUGGAGACACAGAGCUGAAGAAGUCCCCUUUCUCAAAGAGCCUUUGAUUGAAUGGGGGAGGACUGAUACAAAAAAAAAUAUAUAUAAUCCUCCAUGGAUUUUUCUCAGCAGACACCCUGUCCAAAGCAGACCAGGCUGUCAGUAAAAAGGAGGAGAAAUUUCUCCAGGAGAAUAGCUUCUUCAUUUUCAUGAGUGUAAGCAAUCAGAUUUCUUUUUUUGCAAACAUAUUUGAACUUAUAUAUCCAAAUUAGUAUUGUACCCUGCCAAAUCACCACUCUGGGAACCGUACACUUAUUCCAGUGAUGCGUCUAGUGCUCAAAGCAUUUUGAAACUCCUCUAUGGGAAUUAUUUUUCAGCCAGUCGGUUUAUGGGUCACCUAGGAAAACCAGUCACAUUAUUUUAUAGUCAUGCCUCAUUUUUCACCUAAAGCGAUGUAACAAGAUUUGAUCACCCACUUUAUUCAUUAGACAUGGCUCCAACCAAUUUUUGUCUCUUUUCAAAGUUCAAAUCUACUCUCAGAGGAUUAAAUUUGUUAUGACUGAAGACUUUCAAAGGAAGUGCCACAGACUGUUAAGACAGUUGCUGAGAGAGUUCCAGAAAUGUUAGUGCAAUGUGAGCACUGUUUGAAUAAAUAUGUUGCUUCCCAAGAUGAUUGUUUUGAAGGAGAUAACAUUAAUUUAAAUGAAAAUACUCUGGCAUAACUGUUAAAAAUGAGUUCCCAUAUUUUGUGCUGUUCAAGCACGCUGCCCUGUGGAGAGGGUCUUAGAAGAUAGUUCAUGCUGAGGAAGAUUCUGGCAUUCUGCUUUCCUUCAGCAGCUGCCUGUGGUGGCCUAGGGAUAUGGUUCUCUUCCAUUCUGGUAGGCAUCUAAACAUACUUUGGUCAGGCAUUUAGAAAUUGUGCACAAUGAGAAGGUUUGUUAAAACACAAGUAGACCGAAUGGCCCUGACCUAGGAUGAGAGUCCUGUCAGCUCUAAGCCACAGAAACUAGAGACCUAGAUGUUAAGAUUGUGCCCGCCUGACUCCAAGAGGUCAUCUCAUGGUUGCAAAGAGGCCAGAAAAUGGAGCUGAGAUGGCUUGACUGGGUGGGGAUGGGGAAGGAUCUUUUGCUUUAGUAAUGAAACUAUUAUGUUACACUGCCUCAUGGGGAUGUUGAGAAAUGCAUUCUGUGAGCAGAAUGAAAUGAAGUAUGUUUAAAAAUGAAGUAAAAGGGAAAUGAGUGUAGGAGACCCAAAUGGAAAUGGGAGUGAGGUUGGCACCUGUUACAAAAGCCAAACCUCCUCUCUGAGCUGGGCCACGUGGUUGGCCAUGGUCAAAUCUGUGAGAAAAACAUGGUCACACAGCUCGCCAUAGCCAGUUCCCCCAUGUGUAGAUUUGGUGUAAAAAGAGUAAUAAUAAUAUCUGCCUGGAAACAUUUAUGUGAGGAUGAAGCAUAAUUUGUGAAGCGCUUACAUAGUGCCUGGCAUUGUCUUUGCUAAACAGAAGACUUGGGUGAUUCUAGUGAUUGUUAUGAUCAUCCCAAACGCUGAGCCCAUUUGGGUGCAGAGGGGAGGUCUUCUGUGUCUGCCACCAUACCCACCACAUAGAUGUCUUAUUCGCUCUCUAUCCAUACACUAUCCCUUGAGUUUGAUCUGUGAGGCAGAGGUUCACAGUGGCUGUGACUCUCCAUCACAGGCUCCACAGGCUCAUUGAUUUGGGGCCUUUACCUUUUUGGAGUCCUGAGCCAGCAGUGGGUAGUUGAAGAUGGUGAUCGUAGGGUGGACCUGUGGAAUAGUUAUCUGGCCCAGGCUAAUGUCAUGCUGCUGAUGAGAUGCUGCAAGAAAUGUAUGCUGGCAUUGCUGUGUGCUGCCUAUAUAUGCCGGACUGUAUGGAUUUGUUCAACAAACAUUGUUGAGCCCUCUCUAGAUGUAGGCACUGUGUGAGAUGGUUGGGGGUACAAAGGUGAAUAAGACAGAGUCUUUAUUCUCAGGAUACUCAUGCAAGUAGAGCAACAUCCGUAGGUAGUUAACAAAAAUAUGGUGCAAAUGCCAGUAUGUUGGUUUCCUAUGGCAGCUGACAGUUGACUAUAAACUGGGGGGCUGAAAGCAACAGAAAUUUAUUUUUUUCCUAAUUCUGGAGACCAAAAGUGUGAACUCAAGGUGUUGGCUGGUCUUUGCUUCCUCUGAAGGCCCCAGGGGAGAAUCCUUCCUUGCCUCUUGCAGCUCUUGGUGGUUCCACGUGUUCUAUGCUCAUGGCUGCAUGAGCCUUCACGUGGCCUUCUCUGUGUCUGUCUUCUCUUCUGUCUCUUUUAAGGGUACUUGUUACUGGAUUUAGGGCCAACUCAGAUAAUCUCUGAUGAUUUCAAAUCUUGAUGAUUUCAUAUCGAGAUCUUUAAUUAAUAUGCAAAGACCCUUUUAUCAAACAAGUUUGCAUUCACAGGCUCUGGGUGGACAUAUCUUUGCAGGGAGAGGGUGGAAGUAGUUACCAUUCAACCUGCGUCAGCUGGAGGAGAGAAGUUCGGGGAAUCAUGAGAGCACAGAGGAGAGCAACCAGCCCCACCUGGAGGAGGACGGGGAGAACCAGGCUGUCUUCUCCCCAAUGAGGGAGAAAGAGAAGGACUUUGCUGUCUUCCUCUUCUUGCCUGGAUGGGCCAGCCGGUGGAGCCUGCCUCAGAGCUGCCAGGUGGGAGCCAGGCACCACUGAGGCCCACUCAACAGAGUGAAGAGCGGCAAGUAGUAGCACGUGUUAGGAAGCGAGGCCGACUGCAGUGAGUUGCCAAGAGGAUGGCUCCAUAAGGCAAAGCUUGGAAGUAUUCAAGUGCAAGUCUUGUACAGGAAGCCAGCUGAGGAACAGCAGGAUCCUCAGAGCCACCACAGCUGAGGAAGGAAUCCUUUUUUGCGACCUUGGCUAAUCUUCCAGUCUCUCCUCUAAGCUAUUUGAUGUGCCACUGGCAGCCAGCCAACUUUCCAGAAACAUAUCAGUUUAGAUUCCUUUUGCUUAAAAAUUUCCAUAGCUUCCGGCAGCUACAAAAUAAACUUUAGUGUGGUUCAUGA